rnacentral:rRNA from 1 species
UGGGGAAUAUUGGACAAUGGGCGAAAGCCUGAUCCAGCCAUGCCGCGUGUGUGAAGAAGGUCUUCGGAUUGUAAAGCACUUUAAGUUGGGAGGAAGGGCAGUAAGCGAAUACCUUGCUGUUUUGACGUUACCGACAGAAUAAGCACCGGCUAACUCUGUGCCAGCAGCCGCGGUAAUACAGAGGGUGCAAGCGUUAAUCGGAAUUACUGGGCGUAAAGCGCGCGUAGGUGGUUCGUUAAGUUGAAUGUGAAAGCCCCGGGCUCAACCUGGGAACUGCAUCCAAAAAUGGCGAGCUAGAGUAGGGCAGAGGGUGGUGGAAUUUCCUGUGUAGCGGUGAAAUGCGUAGAUAUAGGAAGGAACACCAGUGGCGAAGGCGACCACCUGGGCUCAUACUGACACUGAGGUGCGAAAGCGUGGGGAGCAAACAGG